rnacentral:rRNA from 1 species
UACAGAGGUCUCAAACGUUGUUCGGAUUCAUUGGGCGUAAAGGGUGCGUAGGUGGCGCCGUAAGUCAGGUGUGAAAUUUCGGAGCUUAACUCCGAAACUGCAUUUGAUACUGCGGUGCUUGAGGACUGGAGAGGAGACUGGAAUUUACGGUGUAGCAGUGAAAUGCGUAGAGAUCGUAAGGAAGACCAGUGGCGAAGGCGGGUCUCGUGGACAGUUCCUGACACUGAGGCACGAAGGCCAGGGGAGCAAACGGGG